CGGAUGCGAGGGGCACCGGCGACCCCGCCUGGUUCGGGACCAGGAGCCACCGCGUUCGACCCGCGGGCAUCCGAC
rnacentral:tRNA from 1 species